AUAAAAUCAAUGAUAAAGAGAGUAGUUAUCUAUGAUGUACCAGCGAUUCAGGGGUGGUGGGAGCCUGAAACAGAACAGAUAAUGAAGCGCACUUUUGAGAUGUGUACCUGAACUCGAGUAAGGUAUGCCGGAGGAUCCUCCGUUACAAAGGAAAGCUGGUUCUUUUGAACAAUUAGAGUGGUACCGCGGGAUAAAAAACUCUCGUCUCUUUU
rnacentral:ncRNA from 1 species